rnacentral:rRNA from 1 species
UAAUACGUAGGUGGCAAGCGUUACUCGGAAUCACUAGGCGUAAAGCGCAGGUAGGCGGCUUGGUAAGUUUCUUGUGAAAGCUCCCGGCUUAACUGGGAGAGGUCAAGGAAUACUGCCAGGCUAGAGUGUGGUAGAGGAAGCUAGAAUUCCCGGUGUAGCGGUGAAAUGCGUAGAUAUCGGGAGGAAUACCUAUGGCGAAAGCAGGCUUCUGGGCCAUCACUGACGCUGAGCUGCGAAAGCUAGGGGAGCAAACAGGAUUAGAUACCCUGGUAGUCCUAGCCCUAAACGAUGCUCAUUAGGUGUGAGAGGUAUCGACCCCUUUCGCGCCGUAGCUAACGCAUUAAAUGAGCCGCCUGGGGAGUACGGCCGCAAGGUUG